rnacentral:sRNA from 1 species
CAUACCCAUUGGAAUAAAUAUAACGCUUCUUGAAAUUUAGCAUCUCUUCCUCUUUGAGUGCUUUCUAUUUCCCUUUAAGAUGUUUAAAAAUACCAUUAGAAUCAGUGGUCUUUCUGUGGCUAGUGGUGGGACCGAAUCAAUCUUUUCUCCUCUGGUUUCUCUUCCUUUAAAUACAGAUAAAGAAGAAGUGCAGAGGAAACGUCAGAAGCUCAUGCCCAAUUUUUCGGAUAGUUUCGGCGGUGGUAGUGGUGCCGGAGCUGGAGGCGGAGGCAUGUUUGGUAGUGGCGGUGGAGGAGGGGGCACUGGAAGUACAGGUCCAGGGUAUAGCUUCCCGCACUAUGGAUUUCCUACUUAUGGUGGGAUUACUUUCCAUCCUGGAACUACUAAAUCUAAUGCUGGGAUGAAGCAUGGAACCAUGGACACUGAAUCUAAAAAGGACCCUGAAGGUUGUGACAAAAGUGAUGACAAAAACACUGUAAACCUCUUUGGGAAAGUUAUUGAAACCACAGAGCAAGAUCAGGAGCCCAGCGAGGCCACCGUUGGGAAUGGUGAGGUCACUCUAACGUAUGCAACAGGAACA